GAUGAAGAACGCAGCGAAAUGUGAUAAGUAAUGUGAAUUGCAGAAUUCAGUGAAUCAUCGAAUCUUUGAACGCACAUUGCGCCCGCCAGUAUUCUGGCGGGCAUGCCUGUUCGAGCGUCAUUUCAACCCUCAAGCCCAGCUUGGUGUUGGGGAUCGGCACAGGCGCCCUCGGGCGCCCGCCGUCCCCUAAAUCUAGUGGCGGUCCCGCUGCAGCCUCCUCUGCGUAGUAGUUUUCUCCUCGCAAGGGCAGCUCGGUGGCGACCUCGCCGUAAAACCCCCAACUUCUGAAAGGUUGACCUCGAAUCAGGUAGGAAUACCCGCUGAACUUAAGCAUAUCAAUAAGCGGAGGA
rnacentral:misc_RNA from 1 species